UACGUAGGGUGCGAGCGUUAAUCGGAAUUACUGGGCGUAAAGCGUGCGCAGGCGGUUGUGCAAGACAGAUGUGAAAUCCCCGGGCUCAACCUGGGAAUUGCAUUUGUGACUGCACGGCUAGAGUGUGUCAGAGGGGGGUAGAAGUCCACGUGUAGCAGUGAAAUGCGUAGAGAUGUGGAGGAAUACCGAUGGCGAAGGCAGCCCCCUGGGAUAACACUGACGCUCAUGCACGAAAGCGUGGGGAGCAAACAGG
rnacentral:rRNA from 1 species